GCCCGGGUGGUGAAAUGGUAGACACGAGAGACUCAAAAUCUCUUGGCAGCAAUGUCGUGAGGGUUCAAUUCCCUCUCCGGGCA
rnacentral:tRNA from 1 species